UUAUAGGGUCAAGCGACUAAGUGCAUGUGGUGGAUGCCUUGGCGAUCACAGGCGAAGAAGGACGUUGUAGCGUGCGAAAAGCUUCGGGGAGCCCGCAAACAGGCUUUGAUCCGGAGAUGUCCGAAUGGGGAAACCCGGCCCGCAAGGGUCACCCAUACCUGAAUACAUAGGGUAUGAGGAGCGAACCUGGCGAACUGAAACAUCUAAGUAGCCAGAGGAAAAGAAAUCAACCGAGAUUCCCAAAGUAGUGGCGAGCGAAAUGGGAAGAGCCUUCGCGUUUUAGCCAUCGGUUUAGCAGAACGGAUUGGAAACUCCGGCCAUAGCGGGUGAUAGCCCCGUAUGCGAAAAGCGGGUGGUGGAACUAGGCGCGAGACAAGUAGGGCGGGACACGUGAAAUCCUGUCUGAACAUGGGGGGACCAUCCUCCAAGGCUAAAUACUCGUAGUCGACCGAUAGUGAACCAGUACCGUGAGGGAAAGGCGAAAAGAACCCCGGGAGGGGAGUGAAAUAGAUCCUGAAACCGCAUGCAUACAAACAGUGGGAGCCUGUCUUCGGAUGGGUGACUGCGUACCUUUUGUAUAAUGGGUCAGCGACUUACGUUCAGUUGCGAGCUUAACCGAAUAGGGGAGGCGUAGCGAAAGCGAGUCUGAAUAGGGCGAUUAGUAGCUGGAUGUAGACCCGAAACCAGAUGAUCUAUCCAUGGCCAGGAUGAAGGUGCCGUAACAGGUACUGGAGGUCCGAACCCACUAACGUUGAAAAGUUAGGGGAUGAGCUGUGGAUAGGGGUGAAAGGCUAAACAAAUCUGGAAAUAGCUGGUUCUCCUCGAAAGCUAUUUAGGUAGCGCCUCGUGUAUCACUCUUGGGGGUAGAGCACUGUAAUCGUUGGGGGGGUCAUUGCGACCUACCCCGCGAUAGCAAACUCCGAAUACCGAGAAGUGCAAUCACGGGAGACAGACUGCGGGUGCUAACGUCCGUGGUCAAAAGGGAAACAACCCAGACCCUCAGCUAAGGUCCCAAAUGAUAUGUUAAGUGGUAAACGAUGUGGGAAGGCACAGACAGCUAGGAAGUUGGCUUAGAAGCAGCCAUCCUUUAAAGAAAGCGUAAUAGCUCACUAGUCG
rnacentral:rRNA from 1 species